GCUCGCUUUCCCCAAACCUCUUUUCCCGGGCUCAGCAGCCUGAUCUCAGCCAGGCAGUGAGGGAUUAUGGGAGACUGGAGAAGGAUAAACAUUGGCAGACAGACACGGGAGCACAGACGCUUAUGAACUGGAAGCGCAAGUGGUGAUUCACUGCUCCACUAGUGUCACAGGGGCCACGGGCUACAGAGAGCUGAUUAAAAAGCAGAGUGAACACAAGGGCAUACUGGGACUAUACUGCAGUGGCAAGAGUUCACAGAUGGAUGCUGGGAUUGUAGUUUUGCAUGGGGAAGGUUACGGAUGUAUGCUGGGGUUGUAGUCCUGCAGGGGGAAGAGUUCACAGAGGGGUGCUGGGAUUGUAGUCCUGCAGGGGGAAGAGUUCACAGAGGGAUGCUGGGAUUGUAGUCCUGCAGGGGGAAUAGCUCACAGAGGGAGGCUGGGAUUGUAGUCCUUCAUGGGGAAGAGUUCAGAUAGGGAUACUGGGAUUGUGUGCACAAGGGUCUGAAGUGUGUAUACUGAAGGGCUCAUUUUAACAGGAGAAUUGAAGGGUGCAGGCUUGGAGACGCAGCUGUGUGUGGAGGCCACACAGUCUCUUCUGUUUCUGCUCUCUCUGCCCUGUAGAUUCAGAUAAAAACAGCAAGUUCAAAAAAAUGAGUUCAAUGCCGUGCGUCUCAGAAGCUGCUUGCUCGUUUUCCUGAACGGCUGAAAAAUGUCAUCACUGCCAGACAUCAGGGAGCACGCAGAGAGCUGCAGCUUCGGCUGGACUGACUGUACAAGGUCAAAAGGCGCACAGAUUACGAGACACUUCACAUCCUGCAGCCUUCUGUGUGGGAGGACUGAGGCCAGCUGGCAGCCCUCGUGGGGGCGGAGUUUGAGCACUGCGCCAGUUAUUCUGGGGGGCGGAGUCUGCACCCAGCAGUAUCUCCCAGUGGGCGGAGUCUGAGCCCAGCAACAUUUCUGUGUGGGGGCGGAGUCUGAGCCAAGCAACAUUUCUGUGUGUGGGGGCGGAGCCUGAGGCCAGACUUCAGCCUAUCAGAGCGAGCAGCCGGGCUCGGGGCUUUUGCAGUAGCCGACGGCUGCCGGGAGGCCUCAGGGAGAGAGCAGAGAGGAGGAGCGCUCCCCUCUCCCCGUCCCGCUGGAGAGGGGCGCUGGGGGGUCCCGUGGCUCGGCUCUAAAGAGCGGCGCGUGGGCGAGGGCGCGAGGACGUGUGCCGAGCGGCACGCGAGCGCCGGAGAGCGUGGCGGGACGUCCCAGGCUCGUCGCUUCGUGUCCGGGGAGGAUAGUAAUUACAGCUCGGGAGUUUCCCUGCAGCAGAAAGCAGGAAGUGAUAAUCUGUGGGAGUCAGCGGGCCGUAAACAGGGAGCCGCGUGCACCUGGCGCUUUUGGAAUCGCGCCCGGCCGGUGGGGGCGGGGGUGGGGGGGGGAGCGUCACAGGAAGAGGGAGCCACGAGACGAGCGCGAUUCCCGAGCCCUUCGUCUCCGUCCUCAUCCUCGCCGCACCUGAACGGGGAAGUGGAGUGUUAUCCGUGGAGUGGAUGUCUGUGUGUUGGGUGUGUGACCUUGAGGUGUAUACCCACACCGUGAUGUCAUCAGCACUCUAUGAGAGAGAGGUGUGUCUACCUGCAGUGCUGCCACCUCAUCGCUGGGCUUCAUUAGUGAAAGCUGUGUAUACCCACACCGUGAUGUCAUCAGUACUCUAUGAGAGAGGUGUGUCUACCUGCACUGCUGCCACCUCAUCGCUGGGCUUCAUUAUUGAAAGCUGUGUAUACCCACACCGUGAUGUCAUCAGCACUCUAUGAGAGAGAGGUGUGUCUACCUGCACUGUUGCCACCUCAUCGCUGGGCUUCAUUAGUGUAAGCUGUGUAUACCCACACCGUACGUGAGUUCACUGUAUCACUACUGAAAGGCCUAUCUCUGGUGUUUUGCCAUAGGUCCUCUCUGAACAGCUCUGGGUAGGAGUGUAGUAUAAUGCGUCUUAUAACUUGAAGGUCACAGGUUCGAUUCCCAGGUAGGACACUGCCAUUGUACCCUCGGGCAAGGUACUUAACCUGCAUUGCUUCAGUAUACACUCAUCGGCCACUUCAUUAGGUGACAGGAGUGGCACCCGGUGUGGUCUUCUGCUGCUGUACCCCAUCUGCUUCAAGGUUUGACGUGGUGUGCGUUCAGAGAUGCUCUUCUGCAUGCCUCGGUUGUAACGAGUGGUUAUUUGAGUUAAUGUUGCCUUUCUAUCAGCUCGAACCAGUCUGGCCAUUCUCCUCUGACUUCUGCCAAGGCAUUUUCGCCCAGAGAACUGCCGCUCACUGGAUAUUUUCUCUUUUUUGGACCAUUCUCUGUAAACCCUAGAGAUGGUUGUGCGUGAAAACCCCAGCAGUUUCUGAAACACUCAAACCAGCCCAUCUGGCACCAACGACCAUGGCACGUUCAAAGUCGCUUAAAUCACCUUUCUUCCCCAUUCUGAUGCUUGGUUUGAACUUCCGCAGAUCGUCUUGACCAUGUCCACAUGCCUAAAUGCAUUGAGUUGCUGCCACGUGAUUGGCUGAUUAGAUAUUUGGGUUAACGGGUGCAGUUUGCGGUUGAACAGGUCUACCUAAUGAAGUGGCCGUGUGUAUGCCCGGUGUAUGUCCAGCUGUAUAAUUGGACGAAGCGUAAAUUCUGUGUAGAAGUUGUGUAAGUUGCUCCGCGUAAGCCGAACGCCUGUAAUGUAAUGUAACGACACACCGAAGCCGAAACGCACGUCCCGCUCACAGGAUGUGAGCCGCCACCUCCGCACCGCCAACGGAAGGCGGGCCCGCCCUCCUUAUCUGGGGCAGUUCGGUCAGCGCGGGCGACGGCGCAAAGAUUAAAGGAUGAGGACACGCCCAGGAGCCGAGCGCGUGCAGCACUCUUCCGGCCGGUUUGAGUAACAGGCCGUGCCUUUGUUGCUUGUUUGUUGGGAGUAGUAAGCCGUGAGUGAGUCACAGUGUGGCCGUGCUGUGUUUAUCUGCUUGGCCACUUUACGGCGUCCGGAGCAACAGGAGAAAGCAGUCAGACUGUCGGAGGGGGGGGAAACUUCCAGCUCUGUCUGGCCCGUUGUCUGGGGCUGCCCAAUCGCAGGCCCCCGUGAUCUGACCCAAAGAGUGAGGUCAUAAAUCCAGCCAAUGGCGGCGGAGGUAUUUGCCUCGUUGUAGUGGAGGAGGAAAGAGCAGGAAAUGCCUGGCUGAGAGGUGACAUACUUUUUUCCUUUAGAUGUCAGACGUGCUUUU